AUGAAAAAGAUCAGAGGUCUGAGAGAGCUUGCUCUGUUGGAGGAACUACAUGUCAUGUAUUAUUACUGGAGCAUGAAUUCCAUGGAAGAGCAUUGGGAAAGGUCUUGGAUAUCAGGAGAGAGCAUUUGGAUAUCUUUCUGGAAGAGACGGGAUUUCUAUUUUGGGCGGUUGGCACAAAGAGACGUCAGCGGAUGUUGGCAGAAACCAUGUUUCUCUCCAGCUGCUCCAAUGGAAAUCAUCAUGUUACAAUAUUUCCAAUGCAGACUAUGGAGAGAUAGAGACAGAGAUAAGAAAGAGAAAGAGAAGUCCUGCUGA
rnacentral:lncRNA from 10 species